rnacentral:rRNA from 1 species
UACGUAGGGCGCAAGCGUUGUCCGGAAUUAUUGGGCGUAAAGAGCUCGUAGGCGGUCUGUCGCGUCGGCUGUGAAAACUCGGGGCUCAACCCCCGAGCCUGCAGUCGAUACGGGCAGACUAGAGUGCGGUAGGGGAGACUGGAAUUCCUGGUGUAGCGGUGAAAUGCGCAGAUAUCAGGAGGAACACCGGUGGCGAAGGCGGUUCUCUGGGCAUUACCUGACGCUGAGGAGCGAAAGUGUGGGGAGCGAACAGG